AUGCCCCGACAGCCCAGCACCGCCCGGAGCUGCUGCUGCCUGCACAGGGCUCCUGCCUGCGCUGGAACAGCCCAGCUCUGCUCUGUGCCACUGCCACUGUCACUGUGCCACUGUCAUUGUGUCACUGUGUCACUGUUAUUGUGUCACUGUCACUGUCACUGUGUCACUGUGCCACUGUCACUGUGCCACUGCCACUGUGUCACUGUCACUGUGUCACUGUCAUUGUCACUGUGCCACUGUCACUGUGUCACUGUGUCACUGUCACUGUCAUUGUGUCACUGUCACUGUCACUGUCACUGUGUCACUGCCUCUGUGUCACUGCCACUGUGUCACUGUCACUGUGUCACUGUCACUGCCAUUGUGUCACUGUGUCUGUGUCACUGUGUCUGUGUCACUGUCACUGUGUCACUGUGUCACUGUCACUGUGUCAAUGUCACUGUCACUGUGUCACUGUGUCACUGUGUCACUGUGUCACUGUGUCAAUGUCACUGUGCCACUGUCACUACCAUUGUGUCACUGUGUCACUGGCACUGUGUCACUGUGUCACUGUCACUGUGUCACUGUCACUGCCAUUGUGUCACUGUGUCACUGCCAUUGUGUCACUGUGUCACUGUCACUGUCACUGUGUCACUGUCACUCUGUCACUGUCACUGUGCCACUGUGUCACUGCCACUGUCACUGUCACUGCCACUGUGUCACUGUCACUGCCACUGUGUCACUGUGUCACUGUCACUGUGCCACUGUGUCACUGUGUCACUGUCACUGUCACUGUCACUGUCACUGUGUCACUGUGUCACUGUGUCACUGCCACUGUGUCACUGUGUCACUGUCACUGCCACUGUCACUGUGCCACUGUCACUGCCACUGUGUCACUGCCAUUGUGUCACUGUCACUGUGUCACUGCCACUAUGUCACUGUACCACUGUGUCACUGUCACUCUGUCACUGUCACUGUGUCACUGUGCCACUGUCACUGUGUCACUGUCACUGUGUCACUGCCAUUGUCACUGUCACUGUGUCCCUGCCACGGUCAGUGUCACUGCAGCAGGAGUAUUGGUGA
rnacentral:lncRNA from 1 species